CUCAAGCUCAUCCCUGCCCUCAAACCACUCCAAACUGCCGCCAAGGUCACUGGCCAAAUCCACCGUCGCUGGCCCUUUUUCUGCCACAACAGCACGCCAUCAACUUUGCCACUCAUCGGUUUGGGGUGGACAUGUGGAAGGGGCUUCGGCCAGGUUGACAUGAUCCGCAAUGGUGGAACCCGUGAAAGCAACGACCGUCUAGCCUUGCUUAGGCCCAACAAGUGCCCGACUGCUAGGAUGGAUCAAUAUCCCACUAGGCAGGAGUGUGUUUGGCCUGUCGGCCCCUAA
rnacentral:lncRNA from 3 species